UGGGGAAUAUUGGACAAUGGGCGGAAGCCUGAUCCAGCCAUGCCGCGUGUGUGAAGAAGGCCUUUUUGUUGUAAAGCACUUUAAGCGAGGAGGAGGCUACUUGGAUUAAUACUCUAGGAUAGUGGACGUUACUCGCAGAAUAAGCACCGGCUAACUCUGUGCCAGCAGCCGAGGUAAUACAGAGGGUGCGAGCGUUAAUCGGAUUUACUGGGCGUAAAGCGUGCGUAGGCGGCUUCUUAAGUCGGAUGUGAAAUCCCUGAGCUUAACUUAGGAAUUGCAUUCGAUACUGGGAAGCUAGAGUAUGGGAGAGGAUGGUAGAAUUCCAGGUGUAGCGGUGAAAUGCGUAGAGAUCUGGAGGAAUACCGAUGGCGAAGGCAGCCAUCUGGCCUAAUACUGACGCUGAGGUACGAAAGCAUGGGGAGCAAACAGG
rnacentral:rRNA from 1 species